CAAAAUGGCCAAACCACAUGGUCAAAGCCUGAUCUUGUCAGAUCUCAGAAGCUAAGCAAGGCUGGGCCAAGUUGGUACUUGGAUGGGAGACUGCCAGGAAUUCCAGGUGCCACAGUGG
rnacentral:rRNA from 1 species